UACGUAGGGUGCAAGCGUUAAUCGGAAUUACUGGGCGUAAAGCGUGCGCAGGCGGUUGUGUAAGACAGAUGUGAAAUCCCCGGGCUCAACCUGGGAACUGCAUUUGUGACUGCACAGCUGGAGUGCGGCAGAGGGGGAUGGAAUUCCGCGUGUAGCAGUGAAAUGCGUAAAUAUGCGGAGGAACACCGAUGGCGAAGGCAAUCCCCUGGGCCUGCACUGACGCUCAUGCACGAAAGCGUGGGGAGCAAACAGG
rnacentral:rRNA from 1 species